AUUGACUUGGCGUAAUAGACUAUUCGCUGAGGAUUCUAGUUUACUAGAGCCGAGUUGGGUUAAAGGAAGCUCCUAAUCCUAAAGUCUAUUUUUUGAUUAGAUCUCAAAUCAGGUAGGACUACCCGCUGAACUUAAGCAUAUCAAUAAGCGGAGGAAAAGAAACUAACAAGGAUUCCCCUAGUAGCGGCGAGCGAAGCGGGAAGAGCUCAAAUUUAUAAUCUGGCACCUUCGGUGUCCGAGUUGUAAUCUCUAGAAGUGUUUUCCGCGUUGGACCGCACACAAGUCUGUUGGAAUACAGCGGCAUAGUGGUGAAACCCCCGUAUAUGGUGCGGACGCCCAGCGCUUUGUGAUACACUUUCAAUGAGUCGAGUUGUUUGGGAAUGCAGCUCAAAUUGGGUGGUAAAUUCCAUCUAAAGCUAAAUAUUGGCGAGAGACCGAUAGCGAACAAGUACCGUGAGGGAAAGAUGAAAAGCACUUUGGAAAGAGAGUUAACAGUACGUGAAAUUGUUGGAAGGGAAACGCUUGAAGUCAGACUUGCUUGCCGGAGCUUGCUUCGGUUUGCAGGCCAGCAUCAGUUUUCCGGGGUGGAUAAUGACGGUUUGAAGGUAGCAGUCUCGGCUGUGUUAUAGCUUUCCGUUGGAUACAUCCUGGGGGACUGAGGAACGCAGCGUGCUUUUUGCGAAAGACUCGU
rnacentral:rRNA from 1 species